CAAGAUGGGAGGCUAGGGUGGAGUCCGUGAAAGCCGUCCGAUACCAGUUGCCUGAAAUUUUGGAUGCCCUGACCGCUCUGAGGGAGUAUGCUGAGGAGAAGCAAGACUCUGAAUGCGCCUCCAAUGCCAACGGCAUUCACAAAGAGAUGAAGAAAUGGCCUUUUCUGUGAGAAAACAACAGGGGAAAAGACAGAUGAACAACAUCACCUUCUAUCAGUGAGCCCUGGCUGAACAAGGUUGGGUUCUAUACUGCUGCUCACCACUUUUCUCUGAUAUGAAGACUUUUGAGAAGACGACAACAGUAGGACUUUGUGUUUACAAAUGCUUUCUGUCUCACACACACACACACACACACACACACACACACACACA